rnacentral:tRNA from 338 species
CGCGGGAUGGAGCAGCAUGGUAGCUCGUCGGGCUCAUAACCCGAAGGUCGUAGGUUCGAAUCCUGCUCCCGCAACCA